AGUUUGAUCCUGGCUCAGAACGAACGCUGGCGGCAUGCCUAACACAUGCAAGUCGAACGAGACCUUCGGGUCUAGUGGCGCACGGGUGCGUAACGCGUGGGAACCUGCCUUUAGGUUCGGAAUAACUCAGAGAAAUUUGAGCUAAUACCGGAUAAUGUCUUCGGACCAAAGAUUUAUCGCCUUUAGAUGGGCCCGCGUAAGAUUAGCUAGUUGGUGGGGUAAAGGCCUACCAAGGCGACGAUCUUUAGCUGGUCUGAGAGGAUGAUCAGCCACACUGGGACUGAGACACGGCCCAGACUCCUACGGGAGGCAGCAGUGGGGAAUAUUGGACAAUGGGCGAAAGCCUGAUCCAGCAAUGCCGCGUGAGUGAUGAAGGCCUUAGGGUUGUAAAGCUCUUUUACCCGAGAUGAUAAUGACAGUAUCGGGAGAAUAAGCUCCGGCUAACUCCGUG
rnacentral:rRNA from 1 species